ACAGAAUUAAACAUGCAAAUGCAGUGAAUCAAUGGUUGAGGAAAAACUAUGGAUGAAUGGUGUUGUUGGGGUUUACAAUUUCAUCUUAUCCACUUUCAUAUAUCUACUCUUCUUAUUUACUUCACUUAUUUAUCUAAUUGCCAUGCACACUUUCUAGUUUACCCUUAACCCAAUCCCUUGGUGAAAAGAGCCUAUUAUUAAUUACCGACUUGCUAUCCCUAGCCUC
rnacentral:lncRNA from 1 species